rnacentral:rRNA from 1 species
GACGAACGCUGGCGGCGUGCUUAACACAUGCAAGUCGAGCGGUAAGGCCCUUUCGGGGGUACACGAGCGGCGAACGGGUGAGUAACACGUGAGCAACCUGCCCUUCUCUUUGGAAUAAGCGUUGGAAACGACGUCUAAUGCCGAAUAUGACCCCCUGUCGCAUGGUGGGGGGUGGAAAGCUCUGGCGGAGAAGGAUGGGCUCGCGGCCUAUCAGCUUGUUGGUUUGGGUAAUGGCCCACCAAGGCGACGACGGGUAGCCGGCCUGAGAGGGUGACCGGCCACACUGGGACUGAGACACGGCCCAGACUCCUACGGGAGGCAGCAGUGGGGAAUAUUGGACAAUGGGCGAAAGCCUGAUCCAGCAACGCCGCGUGAGGGAUGACGGCCUUCGGGUUGUAAACCUCUUUCAGCAGGGACGAAGCGUGAGUGACGGUACCUGCAGAAGAAGGACCGGCCAACUACGUGCCAGCCGCCGCCGUAACAC